rnacentral:rRNA from 1 species
UACGGAGGGGGCUAGCGUUGUUCGGAAUUACUGGGCGUAAAGCGCACGUAGGCGGCUUUGUAAGUUAGAGGUGAAAGCCCGGGGCUCAACUCCGGAACUGCCUUUAAGACUGCCGAGCUAGCAGGUGAGAGAGGUGAGUGGAAUUCCGAGUGUAGAGGUGAAAUUCGUAGAUAUUCGGAAGAACACCAGUGGCGAAGGCGGCUCACUGGCUCAUACUGGACGCUGAGGUGCGAAAGCGUGGGGAGCAAACAGG